rnacentral:rRNA from 1 species
AGAGUUUGAUCCUGGCUCAGGACGAACGCUGACGGUGUGCUUUAGACAUGCAAGUCGAACGAGAAAGCCCUUCGGGGUUAGUACAGUGGCGAACGGGUGAGUAACACGUGGGCAAUCUGCCCCUCGUUGGGGGACAACCGGAGGAAACUCCGGCUAAUACCCCAUACGCUUGCGGAGCCGCAUGGUUCCGUAAGGAAAGGUAGCUUCGGCCAUCCGGCGAGGGAUGAGCCCGCGGUACAUUAGCUAGUUGGUGGGGUAACGGCCCACCAAGGCGACGAUGUAUAGUUGGUCUGAGAGGAUGAUCAGCCACACUGGGACUGAGACACGGCCCAGACUCCUACGGGAGGCAGCAGUCGGGAAUCUUGCGCAAUGGGCGAAAGCCUGACGCAGCAACACCGUGUGAGCGACGAAGGCCUUCGGGUCGUAAAGCUCUGUUGUUGGGGACGAAGGGCGAGGGGUUAAUAGCCCUGAGCUUGACGGUACCCUUCGAGGAAGCCCCGGCUAACUACGUGCCAGCAGCCGCGGUAAUACGUAGGGGGCGAGCGUUGUGCGGAAUUAUUGGGCGUAGAGAGCGUGUAGGCGGUUCGGUAAGUCUGUCGUGAAACCCAGGGCUCAGCCCUGGGCGUGCAGUGGAUACUGCCUGGGCUAGAAGGGUAGUAGAANGGUGAGUUUGAAAUUNCCUCGGGUGUUAAGCCGGGUGAAAAAUUGCCGCAUAGAAUAUUCCGGGGGAAGGGAACCCACCCAGUUAGCCGAAAAGGCGGGCUUCGCCUGGGGCCACAACCUGACGCCGAGACUCGAAA